UAACAGCACCCUUUUAUUAUUACACUCCUAUGUUGAUUUUUCAACUUUCACUCCCCCCUUCUUUUUGUUUUCUUGUUUAUUUAUUUAUUUUAUUUAUUUAUUUUUUUCAUAUAUUUCCAACAUUUUUACUAUCACCAUAUGUAUCCACAUAUUCUUUGAUGGUCCACGUAACAUACACAUUGUAAUGUGUCUCACACAUCCCCACCCUUGUACACGCACCUUUUACCAGACUAAUAAAGUCUCUUAAUCACUUUUGUCUGCCAUUGGAGCACUCUUAUACUAUUUUUAUAUUAAGUACCUUAAUAUACACAUCAAUUCGUGACCAUUAUUUAUUGACCAAUUACCCCUUCGGGUCAUCAAUGAGUAGAUCUAAUUCAAUAAAGAAGAAAAAAGGAAAAAAUAUUUUUUUUGCUUUUUUUUGUUUUUUUCAGAUAAAAUUACAAACCUGCUGCCAGUCCCUCUCUUUUUUAUACACAUGCCUUACCCACAGAUAAUCCUACACUUUAGCACAAUAUGCUAUGAUUUAAUAUUUCUAAUUCUCUUCAAUUACACAGGGCUAACCCAUUGGGGGCACUCUGCAGGCACCGGCUCCCCUGAUCCUCGGAGGGCGUCCACUGUGCGGCUCCUUGCAACCCCCCUGGGGUCUGUUUUGGUUUCCCUCUCUCCCCCAUGGGGUUGUGGGUGGCGCUCCCUUCGGAUUUUCUAACGGCUCUGCACAUCUCUGGUUAUUACAAAACCCACUUCAUUCGUUAACGAAUCAACCAUCCCCCUGAAGAGACCACUUAGAGGUCGAAACGCGUCGGGGAACGCACAUCACACAGCAUAAAGCAAUGUUGUAUACAUUUGUCCAAUAUUGUGGAAUAUGUAUUGUAUCACCAGAUCCGUAAAGGGUUUUCUUUCAAUUUGUUAUUGCAUUUAAAAUGUAUGUUAUUGACAACCAUAAAAUAAACCAUGCUUUAUUAUAUUA